UACGGGGGGAGCAAGCGUUGUUCGGAUUUACUGGGCGUAAAGGGCGCGUAGGCGGUCAGCACAAGUCAGUUGUGAAAUCUCCGGGCUUAACUCGGAAAGGUCAACUGAUACUGUGCGACUAGAGUGCAGAAGGGGCAACUGGAAUUCUCGGUGUAGCGGUGAAAUGCGUAGAUAUCGGGAGGAACACCUGAGGCGAAGGCGGGCUACUGGGCCGAUACUGACGCUGAUGCGCGAAAGCCAGGGGAGCAAACGGG
rnacentral:rRNA from 1 species